rnacentral:rRNA from 1 species
AGCUAGCGGCGGACGGGUGAGUAAUGCUUAGGAAUCUGCCUAUUAGUGGGGGACAACAUUCCGAAAGGAAUGCUAAUACCGCAUACGCCCUACGGGGGAAAGCAGGGGAUCUUCGGACCUUGCGCUAAUAGAUGAGCCUAAGUCAGAUUAGCUAGUUGGUGGGGUAAAGGCCUACCAAGGCGACGAUCUGUAGCGGGUCUGAGAGGAUGAUCCGCCACACUGGGACUGAGACACGGCCCAGACUCCUACGGGAGGCAGCAGUGGGGAAUAUUGGACAAUGGGGGGAACCCUGAUCCAGCCAUGCCGCGUGUGUGAAGAAGGCCUUUUGGUUGUAAAGCACUUUAAGCGAGGAGGAGGCUACUGGUAUUAAUACUACCGGAUAGUGGACGUUACUCGCAGAAUAAGCACCGGCUAACUCUGUGCCAGCAGCCGCGGUAAUACAGAGGGUGCGAGCGUUAAUCGGAUUUACUGGGCGUAAAGCGUGCGUAGGCGGCUUUUUAAGUCGGAUGUGAAAUCCCUGAGCUUAACUUAGGAAUUGCAUUCGAUACUGGGAAGCUAGAGUAUGGGAGAGGAUGGUAGAAUUCCAGGUGUAGCGGUGAAAUGCGUAGAGAUCUGGAGGAAUACCGAUGGCGAAGGCAGCCAUCUGGCCUAAUACUGACGCUGAGGUACGAAAGCAUGGGGAGCAAACAGGAUUAGAUACCCUGGUAGUCCAUGCCGUAAACGAUGUCUACUAGC